AUUACAGCAAAGCCAGUUUGCGAAAAUCAUCGAAGCAGUAUUUGUAAUAAUCGCUAACGUAAAAUUACAAAUUAUAUGUAAGAAAUGAAUGUUAUAACUUUUUACCUGGUUUAAACAUAUGAAAAUCACAUUGGAUCUAAAUGAUUCUGGCGUGUCAUUUAAUACUCUAAAAGAGGAGCGUGCUAUUGCAGAGUUAGCUGGAGACUCAUCUUUCUUCAAAAAAGAUACAUACGUCGUGUCAUUUGCAGAAGAUCGUAAACAUUCCAUGAAUAUAUCUUCAACAAUGAUAUUGAAACACGCUUUGUGGAAGUAAUUGUUUUUAUGUUUUUUGCACAACGAUGCUUUCGACUAGAAGCAAUCGAUUUGAAUGGUCGUUAAAUGUGGGAGCAGAGGAAACGAGUGCCGGGUACAGAUGGUACUACGUAGUACCGCGAGUACAGUGAAAGUAAAAUUAAAGAGAGAAGAACGAAACUACGAAUCAUGAAAACAUCAUUAACUCUCGACCUGAUUUUUUCGGACUGUCUGAUCGAUAAACAAAAGUCUGAUCGCUUAUCAAUAUUGGGAUUGCGUCAAGAUCUAAAUGAUAAAUAUACAUGAGUUUUCCGUUAAAAUUUAAGAUCGAUCUUUGAGACAAUACGUUUCGAUUAUUGAAGGACACUAGGGUAGUCGACUGACUAGUCAGUCAAUGUCCACCAGCUGUACGCGUAUCAGCGAAACCAGUUUUGGCUGGCAUAAUGGUCCAAAAACAGGAACGAAAGACAUUCAAUGAAAACAUUACCAUAUGGAUAAACAUGAGAAAACAACAAACGUUGGAAUACAAACUACACUGUCAAAAAUCAAUUUUAAAUGAAACUCAUACGCAAAACUUUUAAACAAAGCGAUCGAGAAAAAAUGGUCACGAGCAAGAAAUCACAGAACAUCUUUAAACUUCAUCAAAAAACAACAAACUAUUUCAUAGAACAAAGCCCAACUGAAUCCAUCCAUGAUGGGAGGAACCACAGAAUGAACCUCAUGGUGUGAACACAUUGACCAAAAGAAUAAAUGGAUUAUCUACAUAGUAUAUUGUUAUAGAUAAUCAAUUGUGAACAGACUACCAAACUUCAAACACUACGGAGGACGGCGUAAAUGGCACUUGUAAGAGUUGCGGCGAAUCGCAACGCACUGAGUCGGACGAGUGAAUGAAGAACAGUAAGUAUUGCACGGGAGAGAGUAAGCAGAGGCGGCGGAGGAAACUUUCAUACCUGUCUAUCGGGAUUCCCUGGUGUGUGCGUACGCGUCCCACCUUUAGCCGGGGAUUCCUGGCUACGGGUUAAGUCGUCGACUCACCCCGGGUCACGUGUGUUGCAUUCAUAAAUAGCCUGUUGCCAGUAUCUAGUUAAUGACCAUGCCAAGAUCAAAGGAGGGAAAUGUUGAUAGGUCAGGAUAAAAACCACCCUGAAUCAGUAGUGGUCCACCUGACUCUUUAUAUCGUGUCAUUCGUGGCAUAAAUUAUCUAACGCAAAGUGCAAGUUAUUGGGUACUAUUCUUCUUACGAUAAGAAUUUUCUUUCAAGUUUGACAGUCAUACAUACGUAUGCAUAAAAGGGAAAUAUAAGAUAAAUCAAAUGCUACUGACGAUCUGAUAUGACGAGAAGCUGAAGCAAUAACGAAAAGUACCCUUUCCAGUUUUCAUUUUUCUUUUAGGAAAAUGGAAGAAUAUCCUGUUUUCAAUAGAUUUGAAUUUAUUGAAUAAAUUAAUGGGCACGAUAUAUGAACUGUUGUCUAAAAAUGUAAUGAUUAUAAUAUCUUGAUAAAAUAACAAUCUCUCUAGUAGAAAGAUAAAAAUAGUUCUAUUGAAGUUGUUUUUGUUCUUUAUUGAUUAUAACGUAAUUUUCGAUCCAAACUUCUAAAUGUUGAACGCUAUUCGAGUAAUCUAUAAAUAUGAUGAAAUAUAAAGGAAUAUAUCUAAGGAAUAUAUAAUCUAUAAAUAUAAUGAAAUAUAUGAUAAAAUAUAAAUAUAUAUCUAUAAAAAUGAUAAAUAUGAGCAAAGGUCCGUUUUUGCUAUGAGCUCUUUGAUUUAGACACUGUGAGAGUUUUGAAAUCUUCAAGAAUAAUGACUCCUUUAAUAAGAGAAAUAAAAGUUCCAUCGAAAGAGAUGAAAUAUUUUAAUUGCAUUUUAAUGUGGGAAAGUACCGUAAUCUAGUUAUCUUAUUUCGCUGUAUCAACUUACAGUUUUGAAACCAGUGAUUGAUUAUAUCGCCGCUCAUGUUGUAAAAUUUAUUCUAAUUGUUUAGAAACAGAUCGAUGCAAUAAUCAUACAAAAAUGUCAACAAUUUCUCAUAACUCAUCCAACUUGCGUUCGCUUACAAUUAGUUAGACAAUUCUUUUAUCUAUUAAGUAUUCUAAGAAGUACUAAACUUUGAAUAUUUCAUAUAUAUUUGCAUAUUCUUUACAGUUUGAGGAAUAUUUACAUCUUCAAUUAUCCUAUAAAUGCAUAAACGUUCGCAGUCUCAUCAUUACCUAUGUAAUAUCAUUAAAAGCUACAGCUGUGCCAAUGAAUUGCUUAUGUGAGACCAAAUUUGUUUUCAUACCAUUCGCUCUCUGUUUCCUUUCUAUUGCGUAUCUUCUUUUAUGCUGUUAAUUAUAUAAUCUUCCAAGGUGAAUACCAAUCAGCUACUAUAGCUUGGUUCUUACUGAUUCGUCCUUCCUCUUCUCGAUAAAUCUUACAUCACACUUAUUUGUGAAAAAAAUUCUAUUUGAUAAGAGCGUACGUGCGAUCGAAGUAAUCGAUUCGUUUCGUGUAUAUUUUUAUAUUCACAGAUUGAAUUAUAAAUAUAUUGAAAAGAAAACUUUACAAUAUAGGUAAAAGAUAAGGAUUUGUGCUGAAUAUUAAGUGGUUAAGUAUUUGUGUAAUUUUUUAAAGGUAACAUUGUUGGAACUCGGACUGACUAACGUAGUAUAAGCCAUAUGUUAACCAAAAAGGGGUGAGUGAAUUAGGGGAGAAAACAUGAUUUCCGAGUGUGUACAGAGAGAAUGUGAGAACAGCGUGCAACAAAAAACGUAUAGAUAACUUGACUCGUGUACAAUUAUUAUUUCAAUAUACUAAAUACAUUUAUGCUUUUUCUUUUACAAUUUUACGUUUGUUUGAUUAAUCUUAUCAGGUUAUGAGCCCAGAGUAGGUGUAAAAGAGAUAGAAAUAAAAGAGAAAACGAAAGAAAUGCCUUAACGGAAAAUCGGGAGGAUAAUCACGUAUAACAAAAAGAUAAAAGAUCAGAGCUUCAAAAAGAGUAUUUCAAAAGAGAACAUGGAUUCAGCACAAUAUUUUCCCCAGUUGUACGUAGAGAAUUUCAAUAACUGGAAAUUCCGAGUUAAAUGCUUGUUGACUGAAAGACAGAGAGAUGAUAUGCUAUGCGUCGAAAUCCCGUCAUUCGCGAGGGAUAAAUAUAGAAGGAGUUUUAUAUUAAAACACGCGAAAGCCAAAUCAAUAGUGGUGCAGUGUAUUAUGGACAAGCAUCUAUAUCUAGUGAAAGAUGCAUCCACUGCAAAAGAAAAGAUUUUGCAAAAUAUGUUUGAGAGAAAAAGCAUGUUUUCAAAGUUGCAUUUAUGGAGGAAGCUAUUUUCAUUGAAGUAUGGACAAAAUGAAAGAUUUUUUCUUAAAAUUUGACACCAUCAUAAAAGAGAUGCAAAAAGGGGGAAUCCAAAAUAGAUGAAUCUGAUAAAAUUUGUCAUCUACUGUAGAUAAUGUCUGAAAACUAUAACAUUAUAAUAACUGCUAUCGAGAUAAUGAAUAAUAAGGAAGUCACUUUAAACUUUGUUAAAAGUACACUGCUUAAUGAGGAACAAAAAAUGAUAAGCAAGAUGUUCAAUGAGAAAAGCAAUAAUAGCCAGGUAAUAUUCAAAGCCUUCUCAUUUGCUUGCUUUAAAUGUGGUAGAAUAGGUCACAAAAUAAGUGAAUGUAGAGCAAAAGAGAGAUCAAAUACCAGCAGGAACUCAUGUAGGGGUUGAAGCUUCUUCAGAGAUAGGGGUUAUCGACCAAGGAGAUCAGAGACAGCUAAUCAAUCUAUUAAGGACAAAAUCUCAUUUGUGAUCUUAAGCAGCAUAGUCAGUUGCAAUGAGAGUAAAUUUACAGGAUUUAUAUUGGAUUCAAGUGCAAUUGCAUAUUUAAUGAAGGCAAAUAUGGAAAAAUAUAUAAGCAAUAUAGAAAUGUUACAGGAAAAGGUAAAAAUCCAUAUAGCUAGUGGAAAGAAGAUAAAGGCUACAAAGAAAGGUAACUUUGUUGGAAUGUACAAAACAUAACCUUUUGUCAGUAAGGAACCUAGUCCAAAUAACUAUAAGGUGACAUUUGGCAUGGAAGACGUAGAAAUUGUGGGAAAAAACCAUGUUAUUUUGCAAAAGGAGGAAUAACCCACAUAUCUUGAAAUUAAAACCUAAGAAGAUGAGGUUUGUGUAAGUUUGGAAGCAAGUCAAUCUAAAAGGCUGAACUGUAACACAGAAGAGUAGACCAUUUGGAUAUAAAAGGUAUGAGAAUUCUAGGACUACCAAUAAACAGUGACAAGUGCUCUACGUGUGUGGAAGGCAAAGUUCCAAGACUCAUUUUUUAUGAAAGAAAGAAGCAAUCUCAAAAAAUAGGAGAUUUGAUACAUUCCAAUCCAUCAGUGUCAGUAACUCCAUGUACUCUAGAUAGACAUAGGUAUUUUCAAGUGGUGAUAGAUAACUACACCUACUUUACAAUGUAUCUUAACAAUGUAUCUAUUAAAACAAAAGGAUGAAGCUGAAGAAAAUUUUAAAAAUUAGAUAGCAGAAAUGAAAACCCAACGAGGAAUAGUAGUAAAAAAUAUAAGACUAGAUAAUGGUAGAGAAUUCACAUUAGGUUCUUUCAAAAACUACUGCAAAUCAUGAGUAAUAAGGAUUUAGUAUAUGUGCCCAUACACACCCCAGGAAAAUGGUAAGUUUAUGAUAGAACUAGGAUCAAGCCCAUCAAGAGGAAGUUACCAAAGACCCUAUGAUGAGAAGCAAUUAGAUGUUCAGUUUAUGAACUAAAUAGAAGCCUAACAAACGUCAAUGAGAAUUUGAUAUAUAAUCGUAUAUAUAUUAUAUGAGAUAUUAAAAGAAUAAUUAAGACUUCUUGUAUCUAAUGAUUUUUCGAGGUGCGUAAUGUCACGACUAAUCAGGGAUACAAUUAGAAAAUACUGCGUAAUAAAGGAGAACAUGUCCAUUAUUAUUACUAGUGUUUACAAAAAACAAUUUACAUUACUACUUAAAUCAAACCUUAUCUAACUCUGAUUUAGUUGUAUAUUUUUACGAAUGAAAAAGUAUAUGACGUAUAAAAUCAUGAAGAUGUGAAAACUUCAAAAAUCAUGUAGAAUAUUUAAAUAAUUAUACUCAUUUAACAAGAAAAACCAAUUUCCUAUAAUAAUUGAUCUAGCAAAGCUUUUAAAAGAAUAUUGCGCAUACGAGAGAAUGAAGUAGUCCGUUUGGAAUUGUAGAAUAUCAUUGCGUGUUUAUAAAGACGUCUACAAGAGGAAUUUCCUUAGCGAUUCAGAUCCAGAGAUUCGUCGCGCCGCUGCUCUUUGCAGUUAACUCCGAUUAUCUUUUUCGCACGCAUAGCUACGCGUGACCUGCAAUUUUGCUAGUUGGGACAAGCAUGGAUCGCUGACACGCAGGAAACGCGAUAUUACUCCGUAUAAAAAAGAAGAGAAUAAGUAAAGGAAAAUGUAUGUGUGGCGUUUCAUCGUAACCAAUUAUCAGACACGGUCUUCUCUAAUCUCCAUUUUUAUCUCACAACUUGCAGUUGUUUGUAUGUUGAAUCAUGUUUCACAAAAUAAUACCAUUAUUUAUGAACUUUAUCCUUUAACGUUUCCUUGAGAAUAUCAUUGAAUACGAGGAAACAAAGGAAGAAACAGGAAAAUGGAGGAAAACAUAAUAAUUCUAAGAAAAUGUUAUCGUUUAUCAUAAUUAUGGAGAAUAAUCGAAUAAUAUUAAUGUAUGGUCGAAUAGAAGAAAACAAAAAUAAAUAAAGAAGAGAUAAGAUAAUAUAUGUACAUAUAACAACCAUAAGAGAAUGUUCAUUGGAGAAUGAUUUAAUAUGUUUGAUACCAUUCCUAUAGUAAUUUUUCUUUUAUAUUAUACUUCUUUGUGGAGUAGUAUUAUAAUCGGAAAUAUCAAGGAACACAUUAGACGGCUAUUGUAAAAAAAUUUUCAUUUUAAAUCUGGCUGAUCGCGUAAUAAGGGAAUUACCAAUGUAUUAUCCGCAAUUAGAAGAUUCUUUGGAGAUUAUUGGUAAUAGGAGGAAUCCGUCUAUUUAAAUUGUUCUUUGCCCACGCGACAGGUCGUUGUUUCACGCGAUAUAUGAGCCAUUCAGAAGCCACGCUGAUUAUCUCUAUAAAUUCAAAAAUACAGGAAAGCGACUAUACAAGAUAUACUACGCUACAUUAUAAAAAUCUAGAAUUUUCUGAUCAGUAAAUUGUGGAUUUUUAUGCAUUUAUGCAAAAAUGCACAGAAUAUACAUAAUACGCAAAGAUAUAUAUAUACGGGAAUAUUAAAAAUAUUUCUUGUAAUGUUUUGGUAGGUAAAGCAAAUUUCUGUCUAUCUUUCUUUCCUCAAAUCGUAUUCAGAAAAAUAUACCUAGAUAUUACAAACACUGAUUUCUAAAUUCACUUUAGAAUGAACUUGUGGAAGUUAAUUGUUUGUUUCUUAAGAAUUGAACAUUAAUUAUGUACUUAUUUAAUGAAGUUAAGAAAUUGUCGAAAACUCGAGUUGAUCGGUUUAUCCUCUGAGAGGUUCAUGUGUGUACAUAACUGGUGGUAAUAAAUGUUUGACGUGGUUGAUGCAUCUUGCAGCAAAUGGUCAGCAAUUUUCUUCCUAGAGGUCAUCGCACAAGGAAGUGAACGGAAACUCGGUCCUCUCAUGGAACUUGAUAGAAAUUGCUUUUAAAAAGGGGACAGAGAAAGCGGAAGACAGAAUUAUUGCGUGAUCUUACCGCAAAUUCUAUCAAUUUAGGUAAAAUGUAAUUCCUGGAACUAUUUUGGUCGAUAUGUAUAUAAGUAACAGGGUUGAAAUAAUUAAAUUGUAAUACACAACAUCUUUCAAUGUUUUUUAACUAAAUUGUAAUGAGAAUGUAAUUAUUAUUAAAGUGCGGAUAUUCGUGGAAAAUCAUACUUUUAUAAAUAUAAUGAAGAAAUGGGAUCUAUUAUAACUGAAAAUCAUUGAAGACAUUAAUUACAUAGCAUAAGAACGAAGGAAUACAGAAUUUAAGAUAAAACUACAUAUUAAGUAUAUGAAGUAUUUAAUACAAUAUUGUAUUCAAGUCCAAUGUUUAAUAAAGAACUAUCAUUGGAAAUAAAGAUAAGAGGGACUGAAAGAAAAAUAA